ACUCUGGGAAGGCAACCUAGGAAGGGUGGGGCCCUGGGGCCUUUUGAGGAGCUAAGUGGCCAAGGAGAGGUGCGUUUAGUUAUCUCAGAAGUCCGUUGCCCUCGUGGUGUCCAUUCUGUAACUGUUCUCACAAGACAAGACAGCCUGAGUUGUUUACAGCCAGCAACUCUUCCUGUCUGAGAGCGGUGUCUCCCGUUGGGUUUCCCUAGUGCCUCACCUUGGUCCAGAUGGCCGAAGGGGACCGUUUCCUGUGGCCUCUUCGCACUGUUCUAGGUGUUAACGAUCCCCCCCGCCCCGCCCCUACUGACUUCCUCAUCCUAGCCUUUUACUUCUUUUCUGCCUGGCCUCUGAUUUUACAAUAUACUAUGGGGAGAAAUGUCUCUGAAGUUUUACUUCAGCCUGAAAUGUAUAAGACAAGCCCUCAAGAGUUUCCAAAAUCAUAAAUACGUUGCUUUGUGAGUCUCUUGUUGGAAGGACUGUCUUUAAAUUAAAGCAAUUAGAGUUACUUUAUAAGAUUUACCCAAAUAUAAGAGCUGAAGAGAAUAAUUCAAAUUGAUCAGAAGAAAAUACUCAAUUACUGACAAAUGUCAAUUACAUCAAUAGGAGGAGAAAAUGUGUAAUUGUAAGCAGCUGAACUAAAAUAUCUCUGUGACAUUUUGCUGGUGACUCCAGCCCUGUGAGAUCUGAGUGGCUCAGGAAUCAAAUUCUCCCACAAACCUGAGGAAGCCUUUUAUUCUUAAUGCCAACAGGAUGCCCCAUGCCCAGAAUGUCAAAUCUGAACACCAAUGGAAUGCAUUUUAUAAACAAAUUGAAAAAGGACAAUCUUUAACAGAAUUGUUGUUCUCUAGGCAGAUUAGUUGUGCUUCAAAUACAAAAUGAAAUAUUAGAGAACAAAAUUAUUUUUAAACAGCUAAUACUAGUAGAAAAUAAAAGGCUGAAAAGUGC
rnacentral:lncRNA from 1 species